GCCAGUAUGGUGGUGCAUGCCUGUAGUUCCUGCUCUCUGGAAGCUGAGGCAGGAGUAUCACCUGAGAUCAGUCCCUCUCGACUGCAGUGGGCUAUGUCCAUCAAAGGUUUGCACUAAGUUCAACAGUAAUACGGUGACCUUCUUGGAGUGGUGGACAGGGAGGGAUGCCCAAGUUUGCCCAAGUUUGCCCAAGGAGGGGUGAACUGGCCCAAGUCAAAAACCAAACAGGUCAAAACACUCAUGCUGAUCAGUGGUGGUAUCAUGUCUGUGAGUAGCCACUGUGCUUCAGCCUGAGCAAUAUAGCCAGAGGCUUUCUUAU
rnacentral:SRP_RNA from 1 species